UGGGGAAUAUUGCACAAUGGGCGCAAGCCUGAUGCAGCCAUGCCGCGUGUAUGAAGAAGGCCUUCGGGUUGUAAAGUACUUUCAGCGGGGAGGAAGGCGAUAAGGUUAAUAACCUUGUCGAUUGACGUUACCCGCAGAAGAAGCACCGGCUAACUCCGUGCCAGCAGCCGCGGUAAUAAGGAGGGUGCAAGCGUUAAUAGGAAUUACUGGGCGUAAAGCGCACGCAGGCGGUCUGUCAAGUCGGAUGUGAAAUCCCCGGGCUCAACCUGGGAACUGCAUUCGAAACUGGCAGGCUAGAGUCUUGUAGAGGGGGGUAGAAUUCCAGGUGUAGCGGUGAAAUGCGUAGAGAUCUGGAGGAAUACCGGUGGCGAAGGCGGCCCCCUGGACAAAGACUGACGCUCAGGUGCGAAAGCGUGGGGAGCAAACA
rnacentral:rRNA from 1 species